CUGAACGUGCAUGUUAACCCAUGUGGCAGCUGAUAUACCAUCAACUCUACAACAACCUGGGAAAGUAGACCGUACAGAGUAUCCCAGGCUGCAACCUUGAUUGGUGCCGUGUAAACAUAAUAAUGCAGGUCAGACUUCACACCCUGUAUUCAGGAACAACCAGCAGCUCUAACACACCAGGAAAAUAACCUUGGAGUGCACUGCCCAGCAGGGAGACGUCAUUGUGCUCUGUAAGAAAUCAUGCUUUAAGACUGCAAGACCCCUAAAAUUAGACCACUGGAGACACCUGAGAACUUGUAUUGAAUCCAUGAUAUCACGGAGCGAGUGGCUCACCUUGGCUGCCUCUGCUUGAAGCUGGAACAUGCAGUUCUGAUGGUCCAGAUAGAAGGCCAGGACUGUCACUGGAAGAGUCUGUCUGUCCAGCUGGAGAAGAGGCAAUUUCAGCUAAAACUUCUAGAUCCUUUAGUAUGACCUACA